GACCUGAUAGUACAAUGGUUAGUGCCUCUGCCCAAACUUGAAACUCAUGUCGAUGGUUUGGCAGAUGAUCCCCGUUCGAUUCGGGGUCAGGUCA